AGUGGCGGACGGGUGAGUAACGSGUAAGAAUCUACCUUUAGGAGGGGGAAAACMACUGGAAACGGUUGCUAACACCCCAUAUGCUGAGGAGUAAAAUACAUUGUGCCUAGAGAUGAGCUUGCGUCUGAUUAGUUAGUUGGUAAGGUAAUUGCUUCCCAAGACUAUGAUCAGUAGCUGGUNUGAGAGGAUGAUCAGCCACACUGGGACUGAGACACGGCCCAGACUCCUACGGGAGGCAGCAGUGAGGAAUUUUCCGCAAUGGGCGAAAGCCUGACGGAGCAAUGCCGCGUGGAGGAUGAAAGCCUAUGGGUUGUAAACUCCUUUUCUCAGAGAAGAAAUUUUGACGGUAUCUGAGGAAUAAGCAUCGGCUAACUCCGUGCCAGCAGCCGCGGUAAUACGGGGGAUGCAAGUGUUAUCCGGAAUAAUUGGGCGUAAAGCGUCUGUAGGUGGUUUACCAAGUCUGUUGUUAAAAAUCAGGGCUCAACCCUGAUCCGGCAACAGAAACUAGUAGACUUGAGUACGGUAGGGGCAGAGGGAAUUCUCGGUGUAGUGGUGAAAUACGUAGAUAUCGAGAAGAACACCAAUAGCGAAAGCACUCUGCCGGGCCGAAACUGACAUUGAGAGACGAAGGCUAGGGGAGCAAAAGGGAUUAGAUACCCCUGUAGUCCUAGCCGUAAACGAUGGAUACUAAGUGCUGUGCGACUCAAAACGUCCAGUGCUGUAGCUAACGCGUGAAGUAUCCCGCCUGGGGAGUAUGCUCGCAAGAGUGAAACUCAAAUGAAUUGACGGGG
rnacentral:rRNA from 1 species